CUUCCUGAGUGGGAACAGCUAGCUUAGACCCCGUCGGUGUCUAAUUAUGGUUAGGCUUGAUUGCCCCUGCAUCCCUGUAUCUGUCAGCACUGCGUUUUGCCUGCAGUUUGAAUGCCCACGUACUGGGUACCGGGAGAUCCUUCUCCAGCUCUUUCCAGUCAGUUUGGGUAUUCAGAAUAAUUUGUAUCAUCCAUCAACUUUGACACUUCAUUGUUUACCUCUUUCCCCAGCUCCCUGAUGAACGGGUUGUACCAUUCCGGUCUCAGCACAAAUCCAUGCUUUAUUCUAGCACUACACACUGGAGGCUUGUAAAGCAAAAGCUGCUGUUACUUCAUGGUGAAAGAAUCCCAACCUCCCUCCAGUCCAGCAGCAUCAGUUCCUAGUGGUACUGACAGGACAGCCUGGUCUCUCCCGCUGUGUGUUGCGAGCCCCUUUUUGUCUGCAGGUUAUUGCAAAGGCAACAAAUAGAAGGGAUGAAUGGGUUCCCUGCAGAGGAUGUAUGUUCUCUGUGGGACAAAGGCAGAACUGCUGAAUAGCUCUUGUAGAGCCCUUUCCUGGCAGCUCGUGGCUGUCCUUGGCAUCAGCGGUCAGAGCUCCAGCCUUCGGAGCACAGAAACCUGGGUUCCCAUCCGAGAGGCUCCCCUAAGCAGUCCUCUAACAGGCCUGCUGAGACCAGCCUUUUCUCUCAUAUUUGCCGAGGCACCAAGGAGGC